rnacentral:lncRNA from 1 species
AGAAAGGAAGUCGUAGCCUACCUUAAGGACAACCGUGCGCUCUCCAAUCACUUUACCGGAGCUUUCCCUUUUCGAACAGUCUCGAAACGCUGCCCCGCUAUCAAAAAUAGAGUCACAACGUUACUACGGUCAUUUAGACACCAAAAUCACAACAAAUGGAGACGGGUCAAUUUUGGAGUCAAAACGGGAAUCGUGGGACCCGCACCGAACUGUCCGAAUUUGACUCCGUCAAGAGACCCUAAACAGCACCCCAAACUUGUGUUCCAAAAUGGAAAACAAUCCGAGGCUCAAAACACAGCAAA